rnacentral:sRNA from 2 species
UUGCUAUCUGCGAUAUGGAAGAUUCGAACCUGCAGCAGGUCCGGGUCUCACGCAGUGAGACAACGGAGCCGUUUACGGCGACGGCCCGAAGGGCGAGCGAAGCGAGUCAUCCUGCACGACCCACCA